rnacentral:rRNA from 1 species
CAGCAGCCGCGGGAAUACAGAGGGUGCGAGCGUUAAUCGGAUUUACUGGGCGUAAAGCGUGCGUAGGCGGCUUCUUAAGUCGGAUGUGAAACCCCUGAGCUUAACUUAGGAAUUGCAUUCGAUACUGGGAAGCUAGAGUAUGGGAGAGGAUGGUAGAAUUCCAGGUGUAGCGGUGAAAUGCGUAGAGAUCUGGAGGAAUACCGAUGGCGAAGGCAGCCAUCUGGCCUAAUACUGACGCUGAGGUACGAAAGCAUGGGGAGCAAACAGGAUUAGAUACCCCCGUAGUCCCUGUCUCUUAUAC